rnacentral:rRNA from 1 species
AUUGAACGCUGGCGGCAUGCUUUACACAUGCAAGUCGAACGGUAACAGGCCGCAAGGUGCUGACGAGUGGCGAACGGGUGAGUAAUGCAUCGGAACGUGCCCAGUCGUGGGGGAUAACGCAGCGAAAGCUGCGCUAAUACCGCAUACGAUCUAUGGAUGAAAGCGGGGGACCGUAAGGCCUCGCGCGAUUGGAGCGGCCGAUGUCAGAUUAGGUAGUUGGUGGGGUAAAGGCCCACCAAGCCAACGAUCUGUAGCUGGUCUGAGAGGACGACCAGCCACACUGGGACUGAGACACGGCCCAGACUCCUACGGGAGGCAGCAGUGGGGAAUUUUGGACAAUGGGCGCAAGCCUGAUCCAGCAAUGCCGCGUGCAGGAAGAAGGCCUUCGGGUUGUAAACUGCUUUUGUACGGAACGAAACGGUUCGGGUUAAUACCCUGGGCUAAUGACGGUACCGUAAGAAUAAGCACCGGCUAACUACGUGCCAGCCGCCGCAGUAAAAC